GGAGGGUAACUUGGCUGUGACAUCUGUCACCCUAUUGAUGACUCAGCUGAACUCUAGUUAGCCUGAUGUGUAUCCCUUUUGGUCAAAGAGAACCACUUUCUCCACUACAGGAGGAAUGUUCUUCAGUUAAGGGUAUAGGGGUGGCUGAAAACUCAUGCUAGAAUGGCCCAAAUGAGCUCUCAAGGUGGGGUUUCACUCUGUAACCCAGGCUGGCCUCAAACUUACAUUAACCUACCUGUUUCCCUUUCCCAAGUGCUGGGAUUACAG
rnacentral:snRNA from 1 species